CCGAAAACUCUGUAGCCCCGCUUUACAGUUGGGAUCGUGGGUAAUGAUCAGAGGCCAGCUUUCUCAUUUUACCCAGACUACGCGGAGACUUCCCAAAGGAAAAGACUUGCGCAAGGUCACUCAGCUAAACGAAUAGGUUGGGUCUGGAUUAGAACUCGGGAGAGAGAAAUAAAUGACAAGGAACAGAAAGAAAACAGCCAGAGGCCUACUGUAGUGGAUGGGGCAAGAGCUUUUCAUAUUAUUUAGCUCUGAUGAUGGACUUUUGGGGUUUUUUUAAUGAAAAAACUCCAUUUUAGUUGAGCGUGGUUGCGCAUACCCUAACCCCAUCACUUGGAGGCGGAGGGAGACAUCGGAUCUCUGUAAACUGAGGCCAGCCUGGUCUACAUACUGAAACCCUGUAAAAAAUAACAGCCACCCCACCCCACUCCCGCGCGCGCCGCCAGUUUACAGACACAGGUGGCCGGGCAGUGAUGGCGCACGCCUUUGAUCCCAGCACCGGGGACCAAGAGGCAGGUGGAUCUCUGUGAGUUCGAGGUCAGUCUGGUCUACAGAGUGAGUUCCAGGACAACCAUGACUAAGCUCUGAACCCCCUCUUUAUCCGGCACCUACCCUCCCUGGCUGUGUAUUCAUUGUCCUCGAUGAGGCGAGCCAGGCCAAAGUCUGCAAUCUUGCAGCUCAGUGUGUCGGACA